UGUCCUAGACUAUCCUAAAAACACUUACAUCUCCUCCUCUUUUCUAUUUGCAAAUUACUGUGCCUCCGACCUACUGAGAAAAUCCCAAAAUCAUCACGAAAGCACUCUGUUGAUUAGACUCCCUGCCACUAAAAACAUAUGUCUCUGUGCUCAGCCUCCUCCCUGCUCUGAGAUCUUGGGAGGGAAUGGAGCCUUUUCCUAUCCAGGGCUACUCCCCUGGUAAUUGGAGCCCCGCAGUCUCCUGGAGAACUUCACAGUCAUCCAUUCCUGGCUCUGUAGUUGUUCUGCCCCUGUUCUCUGAAGAAUCUUUCUCUUUAUGGUUCCUCAUUUGGCUUCCGCUGAUGCCUGGUGGAGAGGAGGUUUCUGCUGGCUGGACUUGGAAGUUUGGGUCCCCCCAGGGGUCACUGCUGACACCACCCUGCAAGAAUGGAGAGAGGUGCCUCCUGAUGGCCAAGGAUUGUAAGGAGAGUUUGGAAAGACAUUAAAUGAAGUCUGUCCUUUGGGGAACUUAAACCUGUGGUCUACCGAUUAUGCCGCCAUGCUGUGGGAGGAAGUGAAUACUUCGAUUUCAAAAGAACUGCAGAGAAGUUUACAGAGGCUUUUCACCAGACAAAUGUUUUGAAGAAGCUAGCUGCCAUUUUGCAUGCUGCCCUACGGAGAGGGCUAUGUGGCAGAAGAGUUGAGAGUGGCCUCUGGCCGACAGCCAACAAGAAACUGAGGCCCUCGGUCUGGAAGCCUACAGGAAACUGCAUGCUCCUAACAAUUGUGUAGGCUUAUUAGAAGGGGAUCCUUCCCCAGUCAAGCCCCAGGAGAGAACCCAGUCUUCACUGAUACCUUGAUUGCUGCCAUAUGAAGAAUCAAGCUAGGUUGUGCCCAGAUUUCUGACCCAGAGAAACUGAGAAAAUAAAUGUAUUUUGUCUUAAGCCA